AUUGAACGCUGGCGGCAGGCUUAACACAUGCAAGUCGAGCGGUAGCGCAGGGGAGCUUGCUCCCUGGGUGACGAGCGGCGGACGGGUGAGUAAUGUCUGGGAAACUGCCUGAUGGAGGGGGAUAACUACUGGAAACGGUAGCUAAUACCGCAUAACGUCGCAAGACCAAAGAGGGGGACCUUCGGGCCUCUUGCCAUCAGAUGUGCCCAGAUGGGAUUAGCUAGUAGGUGGGGUAAUGGCUCACCUAGGCGACGAUCCCUAGCUGGUCUGAGAGGAUGACCAGCCACACUGGAACUGAGACACGGUCCAGACUCCUACGGGAGGCAGCAGUGGGGAAUAUUGCACAAUGGGCGCAAGCCUGAUGCAGCCAUGCCGCGUGUGUGAAGAAGGCCUUCGGGUUGUAAAGCACUUUCAGCGAGGAGGAAGGUGGUGAGCUUAAUACGUUCAUCAAUUGACGUUACUCGCAGAAGAAGCACCGGCUAACUCCGUG
rnacentral:rRNA from 1 species